rnacentral:ncRNA from 2 species
GCCCCAAUUGGGGGUGUUGGUGCCUGCGCUUUGCCGCGUGGGUGAAAAGGGAAUGUGAUGCCCGCAAAGGCAAGCACAGCCGCCCCCGCGACCGUGACCGGAAAGGUUGCCCAUUGCCACUGGCCGAAAGGUGCGGGAAGGCGGGGCGACCGACAGUUUUUCCCCUGUGUUUGGGGGGCGCUGAUAUCCGCAAGCCGGGAGACCUGCCAACGCGUAAGACGUUUU